UGCGGAGGGUGCGAGCGUUGUCCGGAAUCACUGGGCGUAAAGGGCGCGUAGGCGGCCUGAUAAGUAGGGGGUGAAAUCCUGCGGCUUAACCGCAGGGCUGCCUUCUAAACUGUCGGGCUAGAGCACGGUAGAGGCAGAUGGAAUUCCCGGUGUAGCGGUGGAAUGCGUAGAGAUCGGGAAGAACAUCAGUGGCGAAGGCGGGUCUCUGGACAGUUCCUGACACUGAGACACGAAGGCCAGGGGAGACAAACGGGAGUUAGAAU
rnacentral:rRNA from 1 species